UGCCGCGUGUGUGAUGAAGGCCCUACGGUUGUUAAGCUCUUUCACAUGUGAAGAUGAUGACGGUAGCCGGAGAAGAAGCCCCGGCUAACUUCGUGCCAGCAGCCGCGGUAAUACGAAGGGGGCGAGCGUUAUUCGGAAUUACUGGGCGUAAAGGGCUCGCAGGCUGCUUGAACAGUUAGACGUGAAAUCCCCGGGCUCAACCUGGGAACUGCGUUUAAUACUGCCAAGCUAGAGUNCUAGAGAGGAAAGUGGAAUUCCCAGUGUAGAGGUGAAAUUCGUAGAUAUUGGGAAGAACACCAGUGGCGAAAGCGGCUCACUGGCUCUGUUCUGACGCUGAGGAGCGAAAGCGUGGGGAGCAAACAGGAUUAGAUACCCUGGUAGUCCACACCGUAAACGAUGUGUGCUAGAUGUUGGA
rnacentral:rRNA from 1 species